GCGGCAGGCCUAACACAUGCAAGUCGAGCGGAUGAAGAGAGCUUGCUCUCUGAUUCAGCGGCGGACGGGUGAGUAAUGCCUAGGAAUCUGCCUGGUAGUGGGGGACAACGUCUCGAAAGGGACGCUAAUACCGCAUACGUCCUACGGGAGAAAGCAGGGGACCUUCGGGCCUUGCGCUAUCAGAUGAGCCUAGGUCGGAUUAGCUAGUUGGUGAGGUAAUGGCUCACCAAGGCGACGAUCCGUAACUGGUCUGAGAGGAUGAUCAGUCACACUGGAACUGAGACACGGUCCAGACUCCUACGGGAGGCAGCAGUGGGGAAUAUUGGACAAUGGGCGAAAGCCUGAUCCAGCCAUGCCGCGUGUGUGAAGAAGGUCUUCGGAUUGUAAAGCACUUUAAGUUGGGAGGAAGGGCAGUAAAUUAAUACUUUGCUGUUUUGACGUUACCGACAGAAUAAGCACCGGCUAACUCUGUGCCAGCAGCCGCGGUAAUACAGAGGGUGCAAGCGUUAAUCGGAAUUACUGGGCGUAAAGCGCGCGUAGGUGGUUUGUUAAGUUGGAUG
rnacentral:rRNA from 1 species